CACGUAAGCCUCGAGCGUUGUUCGGAAUUAUUGGGCGUAAAGGGCAUGUAGGCGGUGGCGUAAGCCCGGUGUGAAAGGCAGGAGCUCAACUCCUGGACAGCGCUGGGAACUGCGCCGCUGGAGUCACUGAGGGGCAGGCAGAAUUCCAGGUGUAGGGGUGAAAUCUGUAGAUAUCUGGAAGAAUACCGAUGGCGAAGGCAGCCUGCCAGCAGAUGACUGACGCUGAGGUGCGAAGGUGCGGGGAGCAAAC
rnacentral:rRNA from 1 species